CCUACGGGUGGCAGCAGUGGGGGAUAUUGCACAAUGGGGGGAACCCUGAUGCAGCGACGCCGCGUGAGCGAAGAAGUACCUCGGUAUGUAAAGCUCUAUCAGCAGGGAAGAAAAUGACGGUACCUGACUAAGAAGCCCCGGCUAAAUACGUGCCAGCAGCCGCGGUAAUACGGAUGGGGCAAGCGUUAUCCGGAUUUACGGGGUGUAAAGGGAGCGCAGGCGGAGGCACAAGUCAGCGGUAAAAUCGCGGGGCUCAACCCCGCUCCGCCGUUGAAACUGUGUCCCUUGAGUGCGCGAAGGGUAGGCGGAAUGCGUGGUGUAGCGGUGAAAUGCAUAGAUAUCACGCAGAACUCCGAUCGCGAAGGCAGCCUACCGGCGCGAAACUGACGCUCAGGCACGAAAGCGUGGGUAUCGAACAGGAUUAGAUACCCUUGUAGUC
rnacentral:rRNA from 1 species